ACUUGAAGCACUUUCUUCACAGCAGCUAAUCAUCCUUUUCUAUAAGCUUCUUGUUUCGCUAAGUAAUUAACUAUGAAGAGAAGCUUUGCUUCUCCACCUUCUUCUCCCCCAACUCCUCCUUCUCCUCUUCCCAUCAGUGUCGGCCCAGGGCAUCAAAAGUAUAACUUCACUCCGUCGCCAUCACCUUCGCCUCCCUUCUCACCUCCUUCAAGCCGGACAUCUUCGGAGAUCAACCCUCUCUUAUGGAAGGAUUCACCAAGACGACCAAGGGUUCCAUCAACAUUUUCACUUGAUCGAGUUACCGACGACUUGGGUUCACAACGUUCAUGCCUAAAGGACUUGUUGGAAUGGUUCUUCCUACGGUGUUGCAGUUGUUGCUCUUGGUCUCUUUGAAGCCAAGUA